rnacentral:rRNA from 1 species
UACGGAGGGGGCUAGCGUUGUUCGGAAUUACUGGGCGUAAAGCGCGCGUAGGCGGACCUGCAAGUCGGGGGUGAAAGCCCGAGGCUCAACCUCGGAACUGCCUUCGAUACUGCGGGUCUCGAGUCCGGGAGAGGUGAGUGGAAUUCCGAGUGUAGAGGUGAAAUUCGUAGAUAUUCGGAAGAACACCAGUGGCGAAGGCGGCUCACUGGACCGGUAUUGACGCUGAGGUGCGAAAGCGUGGGGAGCAAACAGG